GCCACCGUGGUGCCUCCCGGCUGGAAAAUGGCGAUCGUAGCAACUCAUUCCUUACAGAUAGACCUAGGAUCCUGGAGCGAGCUUGCUCUCUAGCCCCCAAAGAACAGCAGCGUUUAUGGCCAUUUACUUUUUGCGGCUCCGUCAGCUCCCAGGUCCCAGAAUCUUGCCGGGCGUGCUCCCCAUCCGGAGCCAAAAUCUCCUGGACCGUCCUGCGGACUUGAGCCACCUGACCCGAAAGGCCAGCUUCCUCCGGGGCCUUGGGUGGAGGAGCUGGCCUGCUGCACUGGAGUGGUGCAGCCUUGUUGCGCUGGAGCAUGUGUGUGUGUGUGCGCGCGCGUGUGCGUGUGUCUGUCGGGGGUCCCGGCACCACCGAUGACUUAACAAGAGGGAAGCCACUGGGGACAGGAAUGUGCGGGCCAACUUAGGCAGCAGGGGUUCCGGGUUAUGGCUUGAGGACCAGUGUUCUUUCUGAGGUGCUGUGUAUAAUGAAUGUUUACUCCAGUGUUACUGGGGCUGGAGAGUGAGGCAUUUGAGUUGUGGGUGCUGUUUUUGUGUUGGCAUGAGAUCUUUAUUCCAUUUGAAUAGUUGGUAGUAAUGUUAAGUAUUUUGGAGCGUUAUUUUAAAACAGGAGAAUUCCUUAGAUGUUUGCUCAUUUUAGGUUGAGGAAUUUCCAUUUCUAGGUUGUUGCAAAAGCAGAAGAUGCUAUACUGAACCACACUGUGCACCAAUAAGUGUCAUGUUUUUAUACCAAUUUUUAAUGUUUUCUGGUGUGCACAAAGCAUUACAAAUGAAAAUUAAAAGUAGGCUCAGGGUGGUGGUGUUAACCUGGAAUUCGGCGUUCCCUUUUGUUGGUUCUUAGUUUAGUUAAUAUAAUAAUUUUAAAACCAAGGACCAUUUUAUUGGAAUUUAAAAGAAAAACAAUAGGGCAGGCAAAUGUAAAUCUUAGCUGCUGCCAGAAAAAGGGAGAUGGGUAAGAGGAACGAAUAAUUCCAGACUGAGGAGGCUGGCCAGCAGGUAAAAGAGCUUUAAGUCCCACAUGGCUCAAAGUGAGAGCCAACUCCUGAUCUCCACACGUGUGCUUCCGCUAGUGCAAUCAUAUACACACAACACACACGCACAGAAAUGUGAUUUUAAACAAUGUUUAUUAUUUUUUUAAUUAUGUGUAUAUGUGUGAAUAGUUGUGUGGGUGUUGAUGGAAGCCAGAGGCACUGAUCCUUCUGGAGCUGGAGUUACAGGUGGUUGUGAGCCACCUAUGGUGGGUAGUGUGCAUUCUGAAAAGCUGAGCCAUCUCCAGCGGUCCAAAUGUAACUAAACAAGAAAAGAAGUCGUGGCUCGGGGUGGUGGUAACGUACACCUUUAAUCCCUGCAUUCAGGAGGCAGAGGCUGGUGGAUCUCGGGAACCCCAUGCCUGAGCAUGGGAGCAGAAAUAAGGACAAAGACUUGGCCUUCCUGACUGAUAUCACAAGCCACUUAAAUAUGCUGGGUAGUUCUUGGCAAGGAUGUCCAUUGUAGUUACUCAAAUGCAUGAUUCACUUCGCUCAUUCCUGGCAAAACUGUCUUUAUCUUGUCUUUGACAAGGACCCUGUCUGGCCCGUUUCUCCAUGCUGAAAUUAGUUUCUGAAAAUGAAAGCUGUGGCCUGAACGACAUUCCCAGAAUGAAAGAGCUGACGACUGGAUUCCAGGAAGGGAUCUCUGAUUUCAGGCUUUAUGAAAAUGAACUGCUAUUGCUCAGUUCAGCCUUCUCAAUGACUAUGAAGCCUGUCAGCCGGGAGUUGUGAUGGCCGUGGGGCUUCAGAGCAGCACUGCACAGAGGACAAAUAUGCCCGCCUUGGAGUCGAUUGGAUCUACAGGCAAUUUGGGAAUUGUUACCCCCGAUAGAAAACUAUCCUGCCCAGCUUCUGUUCAUGUGUGGAAGCACUCACGUGUGUGAGCUGUCACUUCCUGUUGGUGAUUGAGUUGUAGAGAUGAUCAAAGAAAGAAAAUCACUCCAGGGUUAAAGUUAGACCUUACAGGCAAGCAGGGACUUACAGCCUCAUUGGACUGAACCUCGAACAGCCAUGCAGAAGCAUGUUUAUUGAUUGUUACACAAAAGUUGUUUGGGGAGUAAAACAAGUUCCUCAUACCAGAGUCCCUGAUCUAUAUGUUUUGUGAAGGAAAACAUCACACAUCUGCAACUUUAGUCUUUAUUGCGCACUGUUUGCAGUACCCAAUAAUGCAAGAUGUUCCAGGUUUGCUAGGACCAUCUUGUGACUAAAGUCAUUCAAAGGCUGUAAAACUUCAGAAAAACAACUUUAUAAAUCACAGAAAACAAUCACUGUUUUUCACAAUGCUUUCUUCAAGGUCUAAGUACCAGGAAACUAUUCAUUCUGAGGUUUACUCUAGAUACAUCGACUUUAGUAGACUUCUACUACAUUUCCCCCUUUUGUUUAAGUUAUUUUAAUUAUGUUGAAGAUUAUGCAGCCACCCAAUGAAUAUAGCUUUUUCUCUAAGUGCUAUUUUACGGUCUUAUGUAGAUAAGCCAGAGUACAUUUUAAAUCCAGUAAAAUCAUUACAGGAAAAAACAAAAACAAAAAAAGUAUCUGUUAAUAUUUUUGCUGUGAACAAAAUGGGUGUGAAAAAAUGGCCUAGUCCAUUCAGAACUUUAUAAGCCAUCUGUCAUGGGCCACAAGAAGGCUAAAGGUUGCCUCUGAUUCAAGGAUUCAGGGAUAAGUACUUGGUGGUGGCAUCUUGCCACAGGGCAGUUGUCACAGCCUGACAUUACUUGACACCCACAGGUACAUGAAAGGGACUUCAAAUCCCUCACUUCAAAUCUGAGGAAAAAUAAACAGGACUGAACAGCUAAUUUCAUUUUCAGGUUGUAUCUUUUUUUCAGCAUGGAUGCAGAAUACAGUCUCUGCCACUAUUCAUGUAAUGCUUAUACCUUAUAUCAUUUAUAGUGAUGUCUGCUUAUGCUUCCAACUGCUUCCUAAUUUCUGGCCCUGAGUUGUUCAAACUAAAAACCUCUGCCCGAAAAAAGAAGUCAUGUUUUCCUAAAAGACAUCUGAAAAAAAAUUCAAAAUGUCUAUGGGUAUUUUUGUCUGCGUGUAUGUCUGCACUAAGGGUGUGCCAGGCACGCUUCGUGUCCUCAGAGGUCUUGGGACAGGAGUUACUUACCGU
rnacentral:lncRNA from 1 species